UACAUAGGGGGCAAGUGUUAUCCGGAUUUAUUGGGUGUAAAGGGUGCGUAGACGGAGAAACAAGUUGGUUGUGAAAUCCCUCGGCUCAACUGAGGAACUGCAACCAAAACUAUUUCCCUUGAGUGUCGGAGAGGAAAGUGGAAUUCCUAGUGUAGCGGUGAAAUGCGUAGAUAUUAGGAGGAACACCGGUGGCGAAGGCGACUUUCUGGACGAUAACUGACGUUGAGGCACGAAAGUGUGGGGAGCAAACAGG
rnacentral:rRNA from 1 species